rnacentral:lncRNA from 1 species
AUGAACUUAGGAGUGAAGAAGCGCAUGAGAAAUACGUACAAUCGAUUGAGGGAACGCGUUCUCCUCCCAGUCCUCAGCCUUGCUUUCCUGUUUGAAUCUCGCGACCUUUCCCGGUUUCAUCAAAGCCAGAUGCAGACGCCCCUAAGCCUGGGCGAGAUACACGGGAGAAAGGCCCACUUCAAAGGGAUCUUCCUCCUUUUAAUCAGUAAGAAAUGGAAGAAUGGAGAAAGAGCGCGUGCAUGUGUCUCCCGGCUGCAGGUAUUUUGGACACUCCCCAGCCCUGCCCCACGCCGGCCCUCAGCCUCAGUCCUGCAAUCCUGCAUACAAAUGGUGGGCUCUGGGCACCAGCUCCUCCCCAGGAGGAGAGGAGCAGGCAGGGGAAGCAGCUCCUGACAGGGAGGGCAGAUGAGGGCAGAGGAGGGGACAGUGUGUCCUGGUCCUUCCGUCCACCGCUGGGUUCCUCCUCCACCUAUUCCGGUCCUUCCACCCUUCAACAUCCACUCACAUCUGAGGAUCUGAUUGAUUGGCCAGCGUCGCUCCUGCUCGUACCCUCCAGAUGGGAACCCAACAAGGCAGGGAGCCAGGGUUAGGCCCAGAAACCUGCCUAGAACUUCAGCAUCCUGCCAGCCAGCUGUAGUGACCAACAACCCACCCAGGGCUGGCCGGGGCCACCUGGAGGCCCAGGUCUCUCCCGCUGAAGGGUGAGGGGGAGGAGGGAGACUCCUGGAUGUUUGCUUCAUCUCCGUCUGCCAGAGACCCCUUUCCUUUCUUGGCCUGGCUAAUUUCUACCGUCUCGAAAGACUCCACGGAGGGAGUGGAAGACCCCACGGAGACCCCACGGAGGGGCCACCUCCUGCGUGAAGCCUUCCUCAAUACCUGCCUCCCUCCUGGGCUGGCUCCGGCUGGGGACACCGGGAGGACACAGACAGGCUGCGGCUUGGCAAACAUGAGCUGAUGGAAAAGGAAAUGACUUGUUUGUGACUUCCUUGGUCUCACUUCUCCCUGGGCCCCGAAUCCUCUGCACCACCCAGGCUGUCUUUCAAAGAACAGCUCCUCUUUCUCUGCAUCUGUUGAAAUCAAGAGAUAAAAAUAAAGAACAGCUUCCUCAGCCCACUCACGGAGUGUGGGGAGGGGACGCAGUGUGCCGCUGCAUGAAAUACUCAGCGUUUGUGGUUUGAAGCCACUUGGUUUCGGAGUCAUUUGUGAGGCAGCAGCAGACGACUGAUAGCCCCUCCUCCUUUCACGGGUGUUCUCUCAAUCCAUCUUUUCCGUCACUUCUAAUCCUGUCAUGCCUUCAGCUCGUCAGACUGAAAAAACAGAGGUGUAAACAUAGUUGUCAAAACAACCAGUUCUUACUGAACACCUACCUGUGGGACACGCUUCUAAUCACGUCCCAUUUUAGUUAAUCCUGCAACCAUCCUGCGAGAGACUCCUACGGUUCCCAUCUUACAGACGGGGAAACACGCACAGAUGGUAACUCAUUUGAAUGUGGAGAGAGAAGUUAGAAUGGCAGAAACAGACGUGGUCACUGCCAGGGUUCUUGUUCUGGCUCUGCCGUGUGGCUUUGGACAAGCCAUUUCACACCUCCAGACCUCAGUUUAUUUUUAUUUAUUUAUUAUUUUUAGUUAUUAUUAUUAUUUUUUGAGACACAGUCUUACUCUAUCACCCAGGCUGGAGUGCAAUGGCCAUCUCAGCUCACUGCAACCUCCAUCUCCUGGAUUCAAGUGAUUGUCUUGCCUCAGCCUCCCCAGUAGCUGGGAUUACAGGCACUUGCCACCACGCCUGGCUAAUUUUUGUAUGUUUAGCAGAGACGGGGUUUCACCAUGUUGGCCAGGCUGGUCUGGAACUCCUGAUCGCAGGCAAUCCGCCCACCUCAGCUUCCCAAAGUGCUGGAAUUACGGGCAUGAGCCAGUGUGCCUGGCCCAGACCUGAGUUUCUUCAUGUUUCUAAAGCAGCAUACGUAACUACACACUACAUCACUGGACCCUGAGGUCCCUUUUAUGAUGGUAACAAGGAUAACAAUAAGGUAUCACUAGGAUUCUGAGAGUCAGACUAGUAAAACCAACAUAGACCAAUAGACCAGAUCACACACACAGAUCCAUACAUACGUGUGUGUAUGUGUACAUACAACACACAUGGCAACUGGAGUCAUUCUUUCCAUGGGGCCUAGAAAUAAGAAUGGAUCAAGCCCAUUCCACCUCCCUCAUCAAAUACAAAGUUCUCCUGAGACCCCGAGAAUCCUUCGCUGGGGGUGACGCUCUCGUACCACCUCCGGCUCCCAUGUCCCGCCUGUGGCUUCUUGGGCUCCACAUCCCUCAAGGCAUUUCUGCUUUGUCCUCUGUCCCUGCGUCAAUCCCGGUGUGGGACGUGGUGUUUCUCUUUGGUUUCUGCCCCCAUGCCCCAUCUCUGCGAGGCACCUGCCUGCUGGAGAGCCCUGACUGCGAUCUUCAGGCCGCUGGCCAUGCUGCGUGGCCAGCUGCUGCCUGUCGCCACGAGGUGGGCAGUCUCUCCCCCAACCCCCACCCCUGCUGCCUCCCGCCACAGCCUCCCCCAGCUGCUGCCUAGAUUACUGGAUAAAAUACAGGACCUUCAACCACACUGAAUUUCACAUAAGUGACAAAUCUUUAGAAUAAGCGUUCCCAAAUCUUGUAUGUGAUUAUAAUACUUUAAAAAAAUCAUCUACUGUUUAGAUGAAAGUAAAAUUUAACUGGAUAUUCUCUAUUUUUACUGGCUAGAUUUGGUUUUGUCUUCCUUUCCAAAGCUGUCCUCACCCUUCCCUUCCAGAUCAGCCCUGACCCUGCAGAUUUUGGCCACUCUAUAAGCUGGAGCAGUUCUGGUCUCCCCGGACCUCACCCCAAAACUCAGCCCAGGUCCACGCCUCUAUGUCUAAAUCCCUUGGGGACAUCUGAUCCUUUAUUAGUUCAGGGCACCCACAGUUUAUGUUUUUGUGUUUAAUCCCUGUAACCUGUUCCUUUUGUCCCUGUGUUGCUGGUAUGGUGUUUCUGUUGCACAGAAAGGCCUCCCGGGCUGACCUCAGGGUGUAGCAGGCCCUCAGUGCCUAGGCAGCAUCAGUUACGUGGACCAAGAAAGAAUGUACCUGAGAAGCCAAAGGAGGAAUGAGAAGCAGGGGCCUGGGAGGCUGUUCCCAGGAAGAAAGCCUGGUGGGAGGGCAGGGGCCUUGGACACAGGGACCCAGUUCCCCACCUCAGAGAGGCCUGGAACCCAUUCCUGGCAGGAGCCCGGCCUUGCCCGUUGGCUGGUAUUAGGGAGGGUGAGGGAAACCAGUUUCGUGGCCAGAUCAGUUUAGAAAACUUCCUGUAAAAUGGUGUUUGUUUCAGAGCUUUGACCAGGCCGAUGCACAUGUGAAUUUCCACAAGUGGGUGAGCGAGCAGCCUUCUGCAAGCUGCAUCAUCCACAGAGUCUUUUAUUUUCCUUUUUUUGGAAAAGCUGUUCAUACAAGAAGUUCGGCUUUGGGAAACGCAGCCUCACACCCCCCUCUCCCCUAAUCCUGUUUCUAGGCUCCUGUUUAAAGCUUUCCAGUUUGAGUCUUCAGAUAUCCAGAAGCUGUGAAGGGGCAGCCCGGUCACCAGACACAAGCCUUGCAAAGGGACAGCGUCCGUGGAAGACGGACAGACCCACACGGGGGAGAACAAAUCAACGGGCAAAGGAAGCAUCUGGCCAGCUGGGGAGUUCUGCCUUCCAUUUUAACUAAUAAACCGGCCUUCCGGUUUGUGCGUUGGUCAUCCUCCCGCGGGUCUGGCUGGCAGGCCUUGGUUUCUGAGGGGCUGGCUGCGUCUGGGGCCGGGUGGAGGCCUCACUCCUGGGCUGCCAGGAUGGGCCAAAGUGACCUUCGAUGGAGCAUCUCCCAACUCUAGAAUUACAGGGAUUUAUGAAAUGUGGAUCUUUCCUGAAUGUUAAAUUUGCUGAGGGCCAAAGCGGUCAACCAUCUCAGCAAUGGGCAGGGGCCAGAGGUGCACGAGGGAGGGAGGAGAGAAGUGAGGAGGAGACGCGGAGCGGUGGAUCGGGGCACGGGAGAUCAGGUCCAGGCCGGCGGGACAGGGGC